rnacentral:misc_RNA from 1 species
GAUGAAGAACGCAGCGAAAUGCGAUAAGUAGUGUGAAUUGCAGAAUUCAGUGAAUCAUCGAAUCUUUGAACGCACAUUGCGCCUCCUGGCAUUCCGGGAGGCAUGCCUGUUCGAGCGUCAUCAAACCCCAUCGUGCAAAUGAAUUAUUUUUUUUGCGCGGAAGUGACGAUUGAGCGAGAAUAACAAAUCCUCUCGCACCUCGUCGAAAUGAUUGCGGGCGGAAUUUGGGAUCGGGUUCCUCGGCGUAGUGUAUCAAUGCAUAUUUAUGCAACUUGCCGCGGAGUUGAGCCUGACCCACGCGUUCUCGCCGUACAAACACCUCAUUACUUUACAAGUUUUUGAUCUCGGAUCAGGUAGGGAUACCCGCUGAACUUAAGCAUAUCAAUAAGCGGAGGA